GUUGCGUGGUAGAAACUGCAGAGAAAGCCAAGCACGACUAAGGGCUGAGGAAAAGCAGGUUUGUUAUUGGUUUCCUUCCAAGGAAAGGAGCAAACGUCUUUUAAUUUCAUGGCUGCAGUCACCAUCCACACUGAUUUUGGAGCCCGAGAAAAUAAAAUCUGAACGUGCAUGUUCAGCGAGUUUGACUCUUUGUGAACCCACGGACUGUAGCCCAUCAGGCUCCUCUGCUCACGGGAUUUCCCAGACAAGAAUACUGGAGUGGAUUGCCAUUUCCUUCUCUGGGGGAUCUUCCUGACCCAGGGAUUGAACCCACAUCUCCUGAGUCUCCUGCAUUGGCAGGUGAAUUCUUUACCACUUGAGUCACCUGGGAAGGUGAAGAACAGCACGAGGACAUUUCAAACAAGAGGAACAGUAAGAGCAAAUAAAUGAACUAUGUAAACACCCAGAAGAUCAGAAAAAUGCAGGUAUAAUGUAAGAUGACAAGACUCAAAGACAACUACUUUGAAAGGAGAGUUUAUCACUUACAAUUCCCAAGAGGAAGGGGCAGGCCACACACAGUCCUCUCUCCCCCACUCCACGUGAAGUCAUGUGGGGAAGAACCACGGUCAGCUACGACAUGCAAGGAACAGAGAGGAAGUAGGCUCCAAUUUCAUCCACCUCAUUAGAACUGCUGCUGCUGCUGCUAAGUCGCUUCAGUCGUGUCCAACUCUAUGCGACCCCACAGAUGGCAGCCCACCAGGCUCCGCUGUCCCUGGGAUUCUCCAGGCAAGAACACUGGAGUG
ensembl:lncRNA